UUUUCGUGAUUUGGGCUAUA
rnacentral:siRNA from 1 species